ensembl:lncRNA
AGUAAAAUCAGCCUCAGAAGAAAGAGAAUAUUUAUGAGCAGAAUGGAGUUCCAUUUGAAGCAAGGACAACUUUCUCCAUAGGGAGGAAAAUAAAGUUAUGGAACAUCUAAAUAGAUUGCGAGAAUGCAAAACCAUGAGAUGUACUCAGAGGUGCUGGACAAUGUCAUUGGAACUAAUCCUUGAUUAUCUUUGAAGUGUUGUAGCAAUUGGAGAACAUUCUUGAGGACUGUAAUAAUCCAGGACUGCAUUACUGCUGUACUCAGGCAGAGAGAGAAAGAAGAUCUGGGGAAACUAGAAACCUGUCAUGUUCACAAUAGGAAAGUGAUAGAGCAAAUCUUCCUAGAAGACAUUUUCAAACACAUGAAGGGAAUGAAGGAAGGAGAAUGAGGUGGAAAUAGC